CGUCCCUGGAAGCAGGUGGCCUCUCUUAGGGCAUGGGGAAUAGGGCAGAGCCACAGCUUUCAAUCAUUUAAAGGAAUAAGAAAACCCACCUGCAGAGGUUAUGAUGUCAUUGGCCUGGGGUGUGGUCUCCACAAGAUGAUUUUUUUUUUUAAGCUCCCCAGGUGACUCCAGGACAGCCAAAGUUGAGAAGCAGCAACCCUGACCUCCAGGACCCUCAGCUGGAAAAAUCAGUGAAGUCCAGCUGGGAUGUGACCCAAGCUCUGAGCCUUUAGCAAGAGUCCCAGGAUUCAUCGCCCCAGCUGGCUCAGAAAGGCCCAGGCUCUGGGUCAGCAGGACGGGGCUGCAGCGCCAACUUCCCAUCAGGGUCUGCGCCACAUGGGGCAAGUCUCUUGACUACUCAGAGCCUCGGUGUCGGCACCUCUAACAUGGGAUGAAUGGGAUCGUUUUGAGAAUUGGCUGCACCAGUUUCUGGUCGUCUCUGGUGGUUCUGCAGAAUCUGGCAGAUGCCAUGAAGCCGAGACCUGCUGAAAACACCUGUCGCCCCCACCUGCCCGUGUGCGUGCUGGGCUGCCUCCUCUGUCCCGGGAUGUGCGCUUAGCCACCCUUUCUGCCCGGACCUCCACUAAUACUUGCUGAUGAAGAAAAAACAUUACAAAAAGAAGAAGAAAGAGAAGAAGGAGAAGGAGAAGAAGGGGCCUGCAGCUUUUGAGAUUCAGAAGUGUUGAGUGUAUCAACAAUUCCUGGACUCUCGGCCCUUCCUCCAUCUUCAAAGAGCAUCCCUCCAGCGACCCUCCCGCCUCCCUCUUCUGAGGACUUGUGAUUAUGAUGGACCCGCCCAGAUGACCCAGGAUGAUCUCCCGAUGUCAAGACCUUUACCUUCAUCCUCGGAUCUGCAAAGCCGAUCUCCUUGCUCGUGAACCUGUGUGUGCAGGUUCUUCGGCCGCAGACACUCCACCUCUUCGGUCAGAUUCAAUUUCCUGCAACUGCUCCUGACGGGUCGUGUGCAUCUGCUGGAGCAGAAGCCUCCGAUCCUGGCUUCCGAACCCGUAAUGGGGUCCCCCUGGGGACCGUGCGGGAUGUCCUGUGUCCACAAGGACACCUUGCGUCAUCGCCAUCUCCACCACCAGAGGUCCCACCGGCAUCUCCGCGGGUCCUUCGCAGGCCAGCGGCCACAUCCCGCCUCGCCUGCGGCCCCGGCCCUCCCAGCCCCUCAGGCCUCGCCGCGUGACCUGCCCCCAGAUCCUUGGGGCCCGGGGCUCGCCCCGCGCCGCCCUACCGCUAGCACCCGGAAGCGAGAGCCGCCACCCGACGCUAGCGGACCCCACGGGUCGCAGCCUCCCAGACGAAGCUUGACAAACCCCACCCC